CUGGUUGAUCCUGCCAGACCCGACUGCUAUCAGAGUGGGACUAAGCCAUGCGAGUUAACGCAGCAAUGCGUGGCAUACGGCUCAGUAACACGUAGUCAACAUGCCCAGGGGACGUGGAUAACCUCGGGAAACUGAGGAUAAACCGCGAUAGGCCAUGGUUUCUGGAAUGGAUCAUGGCUGAAACCUAUAUGGCCCCUGGAUUGGACUGCGGCCGAUCAGGCUGUUGGUGAGGUAAUGGCCCACCAAACCUGUAACCGGUACGGGCUCUGAGAGGAGGAGCCCGGAGAUGGGCACUGAGACAAGGGCCCAGGCCCUAUGGGGCGCAGCAGGCGCGAAACCUCUGCAAUAGGCGAAAGCUUGACAGGGUUACUCUGAGUGACGUCCGUUAAGGACGUCUUUUGGCACCUCUAAAAAUGGUGCAGAAUAAGGGGUGGGCAAGUCUGGUGUCAGCCGCCGCGGUAAUACCAGCACCCCGAGUGGUCGGGACGAUUAUUGGGCCUAAAGCAUCCGUAGCCGGUUCUGCAAGCCUUCCGUUAAAUCCACCUGCUCAACAGAUGGGCUGCGGAGGAUACUACAGGGCUAGGAGGCGGGAGAGGCAAGCGGUACUCAGUGGGUAGGGGUAAAAUCCUCUGAUCCACUGAAGACCACCAGUGGCGAAGGCGGCUUGCCAGAACGCGCUCGACGGUGAGGGAUGAAAGCUGGGGGAGCAAACCGGAUUAGAUACCCGGGGAGUCCCAGCUGUAAACGAUGCAGACUCGGUGAUGGGUUGGCUUUGCGCCAACCCUGUGCCGCAGGGAAGCCGUUAAGUCUGCCGCCUGGGGAGUACGGUC
rnacentral:rRNA from 1 species